GACGAACGCUGGCGGCGUGCUUAACACAUGCAAGUCGAACGGAAAGGCCCUGCUUUUGUGGGGUGCUCGAGUGGCGAACGGGUGAGUAACACGUGAGUAACCUGCCCUUGACUUUGGGAUAACUUCAGGAAACUGGGGCUAAUACCGGAUAGGAGCUCCUGCUGCAUGGUGAGGGUUGGAAAGUUUCGGCGGUUGGGGAUGGACUCGCGGCCUAUCAGCCUGUUGGUGGGGUAGUGGCUUACCAAGGCUUUGACGGGUAGCCGGCCUGAGAGGGUGACCGGCCACAUUGGGACUGAGAUACGGCCCAGACUCCUACGGGAGGCAGCAGUGGGGAAUAUUGCACAAUGGGCGGAAGCCUGAUGCAGCAACGCCGCGUGCGGGAUGACGGCCUUCGGGUUGUAAACCGCUUUCGCCUGUGACGAAGCGUGAGUGACGGUAAUGGGUAAAGAAGCACCGGCUAACUACGUGCCAGCAGCCGCGGUGAUACGUAGGGUGCGAGCGUUGUCCGGAUUUAUUGGGCGUAAAGGGCUCGUAGGUGGUUGAUCGCGUCGGAAGUGUAAUCUUGGGGCUUAACCCUGAGCGUGCUUUCGAUACGGGUUGACUUGAGGAAGGUAGGGGAGAAUGGAAUUCCUGGUGGAGCGGUGGAAUGCGCAGAUAUCAGGAGGAACACCAGUGGCGAAGGCGGUUCUCUGGGCCUUUCCUGACGCUGAGGAGCGAAAGCGUGGGGAGCGAACAGGCUUAGAUACCCUGGUAGUCCACGCUGUAAACGGUGGGUACUAGGUGUGGGGUCCAUUCCACGGGUUCCGUGCCGUAGCUAACGCUUUAAGUACCCCGCCUGGGGAGUACGGCCGCAAGGCUAAAACUCAAAGGAAUUGACGGGGCCCCGCACAAGCGGCGGAGCAUGCGGAUUAAUUCGAUGCAACGCGUAGAACCUUACCUGGGUUUGACAUGGAUCGGGAGCGCUCAGAGAUGGGUGUGCCUCUUUUGGGGUCGGUUCACAGGUGGUGCAUGGCUGUCGUCAGCUCGUGUCGUGAGAUGUUGGGUUAAGUCCCGCAACGAGCGCAACCCUUGUUCACUGUUGCCAGCACGUUAUGGUGGGGACUCAGUGGAGACCGCCGGGGUCAACUCGGAGGAAGGUGGGGAUGACGUCAAGUCAUCAUGCCCCUUAUGUCCAGGGCUUCACGCAUGCUACAAUGGCUGGUACAGAGAGUGGCGAGCCUGUGAGGGUGAGCGAAUCUCGGAAAGCCGGUCUCGGUUCGGAUUGGGGUCUGCAACUCGACCUCAUGAAGUCGGAGUCGCUAGUAAUCGCAGAUCAGCAACGCUGCGGUGAAUACGUUCCCGGGGCU
rnacentral:rRNA from 1 species